rnacentral:lncRNA from 1 species
AACCAAAGCUGAAGAGCACACCACACCUUGUUAGUGGUGCACGAUCGAGAGAGAAAGAUCGAUGAGAAGGUCGAUCGAGGCGAUCCACGUCCGCACCGACUACGAUGAUUGCAGGAGGAAGGGUCACGGUCACGGCGCCAUGAGGAUGCAGGACGAGCUUGCCCGCACCAAGACCAGGUGGCCCACCCCCGCCCAGCUUGAGAUGAUAGAGAGAAUGAAGGAGGAGGAGGAGGACGACGAAAUUGUAGCGUCGGACAAUCGGACGCCAUCCGUGGUGGAGACGAAGGUGCAGGUGCCGGAGAUCGUCGAACAGAACGUCGUUGAAAGAGAUGAGCGGCUGCGCACCAGCGAUGACAACGACGACUACGAAGACGAACCCAUAGUGAGGAGAGACGGGCACGGCGGCGGCGGCGGCGGCAGGAGGGCGUACGGCGACAUCGGCGGGUACCACGGCAGCAAGGGCAGGUGGCCGCGCGAGCCCGAAGUGGAGAAGCUCGAGAGGGAGAAGGAGAUGCUAAAGUAUGGCAUUAUGUCCAAACCGACCACCACCAGAAAGGUGAAGAUCGUCCACAGGAUGAUCCGGCCGCCGAACCAGUAUGGCGCCGCCGGCAGUGCACCACCACCAACAGCAGGAGGAGGCCACCAGCCAGCUACCAGUAGCUACCUACGGCCCAUAUACUACCACUACUAGUACAAGAUAGUUCGUUCGAUCAUCCAUCUUAAAAUAUAGCAACUUAACGUUGAAUCAUACGCAAUCUAAUACUAUGAAUCUGAAUUGAUGUUUUUUAGAUUCGUAUAUUUUAGAAUGGAGUGAGUAUAUAAUAAGAAGUUAAUGGAUGCAUAGACGCAUCUAGGCAGAUAGCUAGCUUAGCUAGUGUAUGUAUGUAUGCUACUGUGUGUUCAGUGUGUACCACCCGAUCGAUGGUUAUAUGGAGUAUUCUCCUAUUGUAAUAUAGACUAUGAAUGUUAUAC